rnacentral:rRNA from 1 species
CAGUAGCCGCGGUAAUGCGUAGGGUGCGAGCGUUAAUCGGAAUUACUGGGCGUAAAGCGUGCGCAGGCGGUUGUGUAAGACAGGUGUGAAAUCCCCGGGCUUAACCUGGGAACUGCGCUUGUGACUGCACAGCUAGAGUAUGGCAGAGGGGGGUGGAAUUCCACGUGUAGCAGUGAAAUGCGUAGAGAUGUGGAGGAACACCGAUGGCGAAGGCAGCCCCCUGGGCCAAUACUGACGCUCAUGCACGAAAGCGUGGGGAGCAAACAGGAUUAGAUACCCGAGUAGUCCCUGUCUCUUAUAC